rnacentral:rRNA from 1 species
GAUGAACGCUGGCGGCGUGCUUAACACAUGCAAGUCGAACGAAGCACUUAAGAUUGCUUCUUCGGAUGACGUCUUUUGUGACUUAGUGGCGGACGGGUGAGUAACGCGUGGGUAACCUGCCUCACACAGGGGGAUAACAGUUAGAAAUGACUGCUAAUACCGCAUAACCCGAUAGGAUCGCAUGAUCCAGACGGAAAAGAUUUAUCGGUGUGAGAUGGACCCGCGUCUGAUUAGCUAGUUGGUGAGGUAACGGCCCACCAAGGCGACGAUCAGUAGCCGGCCUGAGAGGGUGAACGGCCACAUUGGGACUGCGACACGGCCCAAACUCCUACGGGAGGCAGCAGUGGGGAAUAUUGCACAAUGGGGGAAACCCUGAUGCAGCGACGCCGCGUGAGUGAAGAAGUAUUUCGGUAUGUAAAGCUCUAUCAGCAGGGAAGAAAAUGACGGUACCUGACUAAGAAGCCCCGGCUAACUACGUG